CUUCCGUAAGGGGAACCUGCGGAAGGAUCAUUAGUGAAUAUAGGACGUCCAACUUAACUUGGAGUCCGAACUCUCACUUUCUAACCCUGUGCACUUGUUUGGGAUAGUAACUCUCGCAAGAGAGCGAACUCCUAUUCACUUAUAAACACAAAGUCUAUGAAUGUAUUAAAUUUUAUAACAAAAUAAAACUUUCAACAACGGAUCUCUUGGCUCUCGCAUCGAUGAAGAACGCAGCGAAAUGCGAUAAGUAAUGUGAAUUGCAGAAUUCAGUGAAUCAUCGAAUCUUUGAACGCACCUUGCGCUCCAUGGUAUUCCGUGGAGCAUGCCUGUUUGAGUGUCAUGAAUACUUCAACCCUCCUCUUUCUUAAUGAUUGAAGAGGUGUUUGGUUUCUGAGCGCUGCUGGCCUUUACGGUCUAGCUCGUUCGUAAUGCAUUAGCAUCCGCAAUCGAACUUCGGAUUGACUUGGCGUAAUAGACUAUUCGCUGAGGAAUUCUAGUCUUCGGACUAGAGCCGGGUUGGGUUAAAGGAAGCUUCUAAUCAGAAUGUCUACAUUUUAAGAUUAGAUCUCAAAUCAGGUAGGACUACCCGCUGAACUUAAGCAUAUCAAUAAGCGGAGGAA
rnacentral:rRNA from 1 species